UUUGUGCUAACCCUGCACCUACGUCCACUUUUCAAAACUUUCUUAUUGAGAAUUUUACUAUAAUCUUUCUAAGAUUACAGUCCGAUCAUUUUACACAGGCUUAUAAUCAAUCGAGUUGAUUUUUUUAGAUAAUCAACCAAAAUCUACACCAACUAUUUUACUCGGGCUCACAAUCAACAAAGUUAAUUUUUUUUAAGCAAUCAACCAAAACCUUCUCCAAGCCUAUCCC
rnacentral:lncRNA from 1 species